CCAAAGUUCAAGUUAAAAAACAGAAGUUCAUUUUCACUUUGGAAAUCAAACUUGAAAGAAAAAUGUGACCUCCCAGAACUUAGUUCCUUCCAAGGAACUCCCUCAAGGACAUAAAUUGUUAAGACAUGGCCACUUGGGGAAAACAUUUUCAAGUCUUGUUUGACAGGCAAAGUUACAUGGGACUUGACAGGAGUAAUUUUUUUAACAAGCUCAAGUCUGUCUUUUCUUUACAUGUUCAACAUGAUUUAAAAACAUGUACUUUACCAAAAGCUUGUUGGAUUCUAUAAACAUCUCAGAUCCUUUUCCAGAGAAUGCUGAGUAGAAGUGGAAAGCAUCUUUAAUGCUUUACAUAUUGUUUAUUUAAAACACACACACACCAUAUUACAACAGUAAUCAAAUGUAAAUGCAUGCUCAUAUAAAACAGAGGUAAGUAAAAGCAAAAAUACAUAUAACUAUUAUAAUAAGGGGGCUUUUACAACUAAUAAAACUGCUGACCCUUCUCCAUUUAAAUUCUCCUAGAACAAAAUUUAAGAGAGGUACAUAAGCAGCUGCCUAUUAUAAACACUUAGAUUGAAACGCUCUGGAUAUAGUUGCCAAUUGCCGCACAUGACCCUGCAGGCUUCAGCUUCUCCGACCCAGCCUGGACCUCUCAGGGGUAAUACGUGCCCACAGCCGAGACUCUGCUAAUAAGCACAAGACCUAAAACGUGCCCCGUCCCAUCACCUGCAC
rnacentral:lncRNA from 1 species